AGCAAGGUGUAGUGGUUUGAGUUUUAGACUGUGAUUCUGGAGGCUUGGGUUCAAAUCCUAGCUUAGCCA